CCUACGGGAGGCAGCAGUAAGGAAUCUUCCACAAUGGACGAAAGUCUGAUGGAGCAACGCCGCGUGCAGGAUGAAGGCUUUCGGGUCGUAAACUGCUUUUAUAUGGGAAGAUUAUGACGGUACCAUAUGAAUAAGGACCGGCUAACUACGUGCCAGCAGCCGCGGUAAUACGUAGGGUCCAAGCGAUAUCCGGAAUUACUGGGCGUAAAGCGUGUGUAGGUGGAUUAAUAAGUGUGAUGCGAAAUCCGGCGGCUCAACCGUUUGGACUGUGUCGCAUACUGUUAGUCUAGAGGACGGCAGAGGUAAGUGGAAUUACGGGUGUAGCAGUGAAAUGCGUAGAUAUCCGUAGGAACACCAAUGGCGAAGGCAGCUUACUGGGCCACACCUGACACUGAGACACGAAAGCGUGGGGAGCGAACAGGAUUAGAUACCCUGGUAGUCCACGCCGUAAACGAUGCAUACUAUUAGUAUGGGGUAUCGACCCCCUGUGCUGAGAAGCUAACGCGAUAAGUAUGCCGCCUGGGGAGUACGAGCGCAAGCUUAAAACUCAAAGGAAUUGACGGCUGNGAGNGCGACGGACGACGACGAGGGAGGAGG
rnacentral:rRNA from 1 species